ensembl:lncRNA
UCACUUAUGAUUUGUUUUGCAGUCUUUUUCAUUCUGAAGGCAUCUACCAGAGCCUCCAGAGGGCGCUCUGGACUGAACUCUUCUCUUUGCUGAUGGUCAGUUGGUCUGUGGAGCUCAGCAGAGGGAGAUCACUUUCCCUCCAUUUCUCUUCUGUUGAUGGCUGCAGGUUCUGGAAGUGGUUCAUCAGUUUUUUCUGAGACUGUGUCUUCACUUCUUCUUUGGACAGGAAGUGCAGAACCUCAUGGACACAAUUGGAGAAGCCUCGACUGACAGCUAUUGAACAGGUGGAGAAAGCAGGCUGUUUCUGCUGCUGUCGUCUCAGGAAGCUGAUCAUCAUCUCCAAGAUCUAACUUGGAGUCGGGCUGCUGGUUGAGGAACUCUGGAGUCAGGAGAGUCUUGAGCUUCUUGAUGCUGCUGUCGACAUUAUCUCUGUGCAUCUUCUCCACCACUGGCUUUCUCAGCUGCAGAUAUAAAAGGAGAACAAUGGAAGUGCAGAAUCUGGACCCAUCUGGAGAAGCUUCGACUGACAGCUGUUGAACUGGUCGAGAAAGCAGGCUGUUUCUGCUGCUGUCGUUUCAGGAGGCUGAGUGUCAUCUCCAGGAUGUCUGCUUUCUCCAGCUUGGAGUCGGGCUGCUGGUUCAGGAAAGUCAAGCUGCUCGAUGCUACUGUUGAUAUGAUCUCUGCGCAUCUUCUCCACCGCUGGCUUUCUCAGCUGCAGAUACAAAAAGAGAACAUAUUUAGUGAACUGGACUAAAAACACUGCUGAUCAUUUAUAAAGUAAAACAACAAUAGUGAUUUUUUCAUUUUAGGAGGGUGUCAGUUUACCUUGUUGUUGAGAGGCAGGUGCUCCUUUGAGAUGGUCAUAGCUGAGGCUGCUGCAGGAGUCAUGGCUGUAUCUUAGUGCUGUAGAUCUCUCUGUGUAGAGCAAGUCUGAUCUACACUGGCUGAGUCUCCUCUAUAUAUACUCCCAAAUCUCCAUAUGAAUGUGUGGGUCUUGGGCUUGUUGGAGGUUCUCACAGUUUGUAGCCAAUGGUAGAGCUUGAUCAGACAAUGAGGAACGUCCAGCUGCCAUAUGCAGGGUGAUCUUGUAGCAGGGGGUAAUACUCAUGUCUCAGGGGAGCAGGUGGAGGGACUGUGUGAAAUAGGGGGAAAUUGUUGACCCUUUCAAAAAAACAGAUCUGCUACCUGAUGCUGAGAUUGGCGUCACUGACAGACCACACGCCAUCAUAGUCAUCGUGUGGCACUGAUAGUGCUCACAUAUAUUCCACUAUAUCGCUUCAUUCUUAUGCGUUAUCAAGACAUUUAAUAGAUGAGCUUUUCUUAUUUACUUAUAGUCACAGCUCUGUCAUGGUCCAGACAAACAUGCAAAGGUUUGGGGACGCUGGUCAAAUUCCAUGUUUUGGUGACUGUCAAAGUGACAUGUCAUCUACAGAGAAAAGUUUAGUGCAGAAAUGACUGUUUAUUAGCUGAUUGUAGCAUGUUAGAGAAAAUAGAUCAAUAGAUAGAAAGACCUCACAUCUAAUUUGACUGAGGGUGUUCAAACCUUUUCAUAGCACUUUAUGUAUUUUUGGUCCUAAUGUAGCCAGUUACUCCAUCAGAUCUGCUUGGUGAGGUCCUCCACAUGGUAAGUGUGUCCAUUCUCUUGUGUAUUGUCCAAAUAUUGAGGGUUCAGGAUAUUAAAGACCACAGACUGUGAUUCUUCCCUCCAGAGCUUUCCCACACUCUGACCACUGAAAGAGAGGAUAGUGAACAAUAGAAGUGUGUCUAUUCACAAGCUAAUUCACCUUCAGAAGAUCAGUUUUAGCCACUGAGAAUGAGGGUCACGGUUGAGGAAACACUGACCUUUAAUGGAAAUUACUGAGCCACUGAACAUUCUCAGCUUUUCUGAAAUGACUAACUGAUUGUGAAUUUUGUUUCUCAGUUUUAACUUCUUCACUUUUUCUCUGGUGUUUUUGACCAUAAGCUCAUUUUGAUUAUCUUAUAGAUCUGAAUACCUAAACGGUUCUUUGCAUGUUGAACUGUUACAUUAUUCCUCUCAGUGAUUAAAAACCUGAGGUACAACACUGAUUCUUAAAGUUGGGACACUGUGCAAAAUGGAGUGCAAUGAUGUGCAAAUCAGUUAAAUCAUACAUUAAAUUGAAAAUAGUACAAACACAACACUUGAUAUGUUGACACUGAGAAAUAGUGUUGCUUUCUGAAAAAUAUUUGCUCAUUUUAAAUUUGAGGGCAGCAACACACUUCAGAAAAGUUGGGCCAGGAGCAUGUUCACCAGUGCGUUUGUAGUUUGUAACAAGCUUGUUGGACAGUUUGUUGGUGAAUCAGUUGUUUGUUUACUAACUCGGUGAAACUGUGUGUUGAUGUUGUUUGAACGCUGGAGCUCCAGAGUGAGCAGAUGUUUUGUAGCUGUUGGUCAGUGUGAGUAGAGAGCAGGUCUGAGUUUCCCAGGCUGAGACUUCUGUUCUGAGAUCAGUGGAGUACAAAAGCUGCAGAGAGCUGAAUGGAUCAUUAGUGCUGGUUAAAGACUGUGAGCUGUAUUGUAGAUGGAGUCUGACGUCCCCCACCAUCUGGAGGGAAAGACCCUCACUUCACUCUUACAUAGAGACGCAUGUGUGUUAAAAUAUGUUUGCACACUUUAAGAAACACAUUUGCUUUAUUGUUGUUUCCCCAAUUUCAUGUUUAAAGUCUGAUUGGUUUUAAAAUGGAC